rnacentral:lncRNA from 1 species
UUUACGUAGGUUUUACGUAAGUGCCUGACACAACCCGAGGCAGUAGUGAGUAUAAGUUUACGUAGGUUUUACGUAGGUGUCCUUCGCAACCUGAGGACAGUGAUGAGUACAAGUAUACGUAGUGAUGAGUACAAGUAUACGUAGGUUUUACGUAUGUAUCCUGCGCAUCCGAGGACGAUGGUAGAUAGUCUAGUAACAGUGUAAGUACAAUCCCAUUCCUUCAAUCCCAUUCCCAAACCCCGGGAAUCCCAUGCCUUGGUAAGAGUGU